rnacentral:tRNA from 1 species
GCCAGCAUGGCAUAGUGGUUUGAGGGUUAUACUACGACUCUGGAGACCAGGGUUUGAUUCCCAGCUUGGGCA